CGAGACAAUUUCACAGUGUCCAAAGCCGAUUCUCUGCGCUUGUUAAUUGAAUCGGAUUUCUUAUAGUUUAAAAUCCACACACACACACACACACACAGACACACACACACACACACACUCAUGUAGCUACAGCCCAAACUGUAUAAGGGGUUUAUCUGGCUCUGUAAAGCCAAAGCGGAGAUAUAAAGACACACACAGAGCGACGGGGAGACUUUACCGGCGUGUUUGAGCAUAACGAAAUGUCGAAUAAAAUGUUUUCACCUGCUCAGGUGUGUAGCUGUCCGAGGGCGGCAGCCGGAGGCCUCCGUGGGUGUGUGGGCGUGUGUGCUGGUGUGGACGUGGGGAUACCUCGUGUCUUCAGUGGACGCUUCACUCGCUCCACAUCCAGGUUCCUGUCCAUGCAGUACCAGACAUGAAGACAAACGGUCAAACACAGGACAGUUACAACGCAUCAAUUAAAAUACCAACCUUUGCCAGUACUGUGACUAUAUAUACGUGUCUGAACUGACUGUUAUGUUUCCCUUAUUGGGUUUAAUCUACAUGGCAACGCUUUUCCAAGACGGCUGUUGGCAUGUGUGCAAAGUAGUCCAGGAGAUUUAAUGUGACAAGAUUUGUACGUUUAUACGCAACCUUUUCUUUGUCUAGGAAGACACAAAAUGCUAAUGCUCACAAAGCAAGUGGAGAAAAGACACUAAAACGAAUUAAGAAGCCUUGUCGUCGUGACUUGGCACCUUCUUGCUUUAGUAGUUUUAAGGAGACUAGCAGAGCUUUUUGCUGCCUUCACUGAGACACACUUACACAAGCCUAAUCCUAAUUAUGUCGGUAAACAAAAUGAAGAUCCUCUCUUUGAAUAUCCCUCUUCUCAGUCCCAGAAGUGAAGAUUGUGACUGGUCAGUUCACACGACUGUUUUAGCGUUUAAAAGUCUCAUCUGUUUGGAACCUAAAACCUAUCAUGUGGCUCCUACACACAGUGCACAGGAAGUGUACAGUUAUUGUUUAAGUUAAUCUUAAGGAUUGAAUUCUCAAGUAAGUAAAACAUUUAUAGAAUAAUAAAGUAAUAUUGUUUAACCUGUUAUAAAGUGUAUUUUUAAGUGUCAACUAUGUAAAAGUAUUGACAUAUAUUCUCUGUAAAUUAACAACAUGUCUCUGUAUUUUUGUUAAGCACCAGUUUGAAUAAAGUCAAAUUUUAUUCAC